UACGUAGGGGGCAAGCGUUGUCCGGAAUCAUUGGGCGUAAAGAGCGUGUAGGCGGCUCGGUAAGUCCGCUGUAAAAGUCCAGGGCUCAACCCUGGAAAGCCGGUGGAAACUGUCGAGCUAGAGUCCGGAAGAGGCGAGUGGAAUUCCUGGUGUAGCGGUGAAAUGCGCAGAUAUCAGGAGGAACACCAAUGGCGAAGGCAGCUCGCUGGGACGGUACUGACGCUGAGACGCGAAAGCGUGGAGAGCAAACAGG
rnacentral:rRNA from 1 species